AGCGAAUACAUGUUCUUCUUAGCAGCACAUGGAUCCUUCUCUAAAAUAGACCAUACGUUAUGCCACAAAGUAAUUCUUAGCAAAUACUAAAACCUAGAGUUACUACCCUGCAUUCUAUCAGAUCAUAAUGGAAUGAAAUUAGAAAUCAAUGAUAAAAUAAAAAAUAAAAGCUACUCCAACACCUGGAGACUAAAUAAUAUGCUCCUGAAUGAACAAUGGGUUGCAAAAGACAUCAAGGAGGAGAUUAAAAAUAUUCUUAGAGGUAAAUGAGAACAUUGAUACAACAUAUCGAAAUCUCUGGGACACUAUGAAGGCAGUACUAAGAGGAAAGUUCACUGCAUGGAGUUCAGUCCUUGAAACACAACAACAACAAAAAAUCAAAGAAUAAAUGAUUUAAUGUUACAUCUCAAAGCCCUAGAAAAAUACGAACAAAUCAACACCAAAAGCAGUAGAAGACAGGAAAUAAUUAAAAUCAGAGCUCAAGUCAAUGAAAUUGAAACAAAAGAAACUACUGAAAAAAAAAUGAGAAAACAAAAAGUUGAUUCUUUGGAUAAAUAAAUAAAAUUGACAAACCUUUAGCCAUGCUAUGAAGAGAAGGAGAGAGAUAACUCAAAUCACUAACACACAUGAUGAAAAAGGAAAUAUCACAACAGACACUACAGAAAUACAGGAGAUAAUUAGAAAUUAUUUUAAAACUUGUACUCCAGUAGAAUAGAAAAUAUAUAAGACAUUGACAAAUUUCUAGAUUCAUAGGAUUUGCCCAGAUUGAACCAGGAAGAUAUACACAAUUAAAACAGAUCAAUAUCAAGUGAGGAAACAGAAGACACCAUCAGAAGCCUACCAACCAAGAAAAGCCCAGGACCACAUGGA
rnacentral:lncRNA from 1 species